rnacentral:tRNA from 1 species
GGCUCUGUAGUGAAGUUCAUGGUGAGUUGCAAGCUCAUUGAUGUGCAUUAAUAAUGCGCCGGGGCCU